ACGGGGGGAGCAAGCGUUGUUCGGAUUUACUGGGCGUAAAGGGCGCGUAGGCGGCCACCGCAAGUCACUUGUGAAAUCUCCGGGCUUAACCCGGAAAGGUCAGCCGAUACUGCGGGGCUAGAGUGCAGAAGGGGCAACUGGAAUUCUCGGUGUAGAGGUGAAAUUCGUAGAUAUCGAGAGGAACACCGGUGGCGAAGGCGGCGAUCUGGACGAUGACUGACGCUGAGACGCGAAAGCGUGGGGAGCAAACAGGA
rnacentral:rRNA from 1 species